ensembl:snRNA U2 U2 spliceosomal RNA
AUCACUUCUCAGCCUUUGGCUUAGAUCAAGUGUAGUAUCUGUUCCUAUCACUUUAAUAUCUGAUACAUCCUCUAUCCAUGGACAUAUUAAAUGGAUUUUUGGAGAACGGAAAUGGAAAAGGAGCUUGUUCUGUCCACUCCACACAUCAACCAGGUAUUAUAGUACUUUCAGGAAUGGUGGCCCCCUC